UACGUAGGGUGCGAGCGUUGUCCGGAAUUAUUGGGCGUAAAGGGCUCGUAGGCGGUUUGUCGCGUCGGGGAGUGAAAACCAGGUGCUUAACACCUGGCUUGCUUUCGAUACGGGGCAGACUAGAGGUAUGCAGGGGGAGAACGGAAUUCCUGGUGUAGCGGUGAAAUGCGCAGAUAUCAGGAGGAACACCGGUGGCGAAGGCGGUUCUCUGGGCAUUAACUGACGCUGAGGAGCGAAAGCAUGGGGAGCGAACAGGA
rnacentral:rRNA from 1 species